CAUUUCAUGUUCUUAUUUAAAUGUGUUGUAUUUGCUUCAUGUUGCAGAUCAAACCAGUCUGAGAGCAUCAAUCAGGGUGAGGCUCAACGUGAUGUAUACUCCUCUCUUCUCCACGGUGACGCUUCUCUCUAUGAAUCAAUGAAACGCCCACAAGGCAGUAAAAACGCGCGUCCUGACAAAGUGUCUGUCUCACUGAACGGCGAGGGAAACUGGAGAGUGAGGUUUACUGAAACCAGCUCCCGGUCAUGUCGCUCCGACACGCAAAGCUACCGGCAGAGUGAUGCAGUGAACAUCACAAUACAGAAUGAAUCUCAAGAUGUUGCAUAUUCUUCCACCGAACUUAAAAACAUUUGAAAAAGGAAACAACAUGAACCAGAGGAGAGCUCUGUUUACUGCGAUGUGACAACAGGAACUGCAAAUACAGUCAGUCCCAACAGUCAUGCUCAGUUUGUGUUGAAAUGUGUCACAUCAUUACACAGGAGGUCAUUCAGUGUGCGGUUCAGUUAAUGUCAGUCACUGCGGGUAGCUACUACAUACUACCACUGGGUGUCACCAGACAAAUUCUACACAUGUAUACACUGUAUACACUGUAUGUGGGCCUUUUAGACCUUUUGAGUUUGUCUGUUCCAUAUACAGAGUGUGAUGACUGCUGAGGCAUAUUUCCAUUUACUAUUGAUACACUGUAUUAGUAUUUUUGUAUUGUAUUUUAUUUCAUUAGUUUUUACAAUUUUUGUAUAAUACUUUGAAUGGGAGUUGUCAACUGUUAGCAGUUGGAUUGGCUUUUCAUUUUCAGGUGACUGUGCAGCUUUAAAGUCAACAUAUUUUUCAGUGUUUCAAUGAUUACUUUAUUAUAUGUAAAGAUCUGCUGUCAACAUGUACCCGUCUUAUUUUUUACAAAUGUAUUAUAGCGACCGUAAAUAUUUUAUUUCCCUCCAAAUAGAUUUCUACUUACUGUCUUAAUCUGUAUAAGUGACAACAGAUAUUUAGGACAUAUUGUUGAUCAUUCUUUUGUUUGCCUCUUUUAUGGUUACGGGUUAUGUUGUAUAGUACAGGUUAUUUCCUGUUUUAUGUUGACAGUCCUUCUUUAUGUGUCUUGUGUAACCUCACUUCCUGUCUUUGUCUGUUUUCCCACCAGGUUCGAUUGUCUGGUCCGCCCUGAUUAGUUUCACCUGUAGUUAUCCUCCUGUUUGUGUGCGUUUCUUUGUCUUAGCGCCAGUUUGUAUUUGUCAGUCGGUGCAUGCAGCCCUAGAUAUUGAACUCUGACUGUAUGAUUAACUCAUAAUUAAAACUUAAGCACAUUGUA